UCUCUUCUCUUGAAGCAGAUGCGAAGGCUCCCCGAAUGAGAAAGAAUACUCGGAAUCAGCGGUGAAUUGCAGUGAUCUUUCAGAGAAAGCGCCUGUUCAACUUUGUCCUCUCUCAGAGACUCAGAGCCUUGGGGCACUGAGGGAUGCCAGUUCUGCCUGUUCAUCUGGAACCUGGAUCUAAGGAGGGAAGAGGCGUUGCCCCUGCUGGCAUAGUCAGGUACCAGCCCAGCCAGGUAUUGAACGGGCUGAGCUUUUCAUGAUGGUUCCUGCUGACCUGGAAACAUCUUAAAUGGAAGGUUAGCUUCUAUGAGUCACUGAUACUCUUUUUAUUGCUAUUUCUAAAUUUCCUUGGCUUGAAAAUUACUUCUGCUUUGCAGAAAUUAUCUGCUUGCAGCUGUGGAUAAUUUAUAACAAUCUCUGGUGAAACCUCAGAAAAGAGAUAUGCUUUUGUCUUAGAUGGAUGUCAGCAGCUGCUGCAGAACCCGGUGAAAACACCCCCCGGGUAGCACGAGGCUCUGCGAGCCGUAACUCC
rnacentral:lncRNA from 1 species